AGGUACAAAUUCCUCUUUGUCUGUGAUGUUAUCGGUGCUCUGCCAUCUGCUAUUCACUUCACCGAUCCACACAACUACCACUGCAGCUCUGGUCAUAGGUGGCUCAGUUAAAUCAGAACAGGAUAUAGAAGAAUGAAAAUUAGAAAGGGAAAAAAAAGAAAGGAAUGGAAAGAGGAAAUGAAAGAAGGAAGAAAGGGGAUGAUUCUAAGAAGAGAAGUUUCGAGAAUGACAAUAGAAUGCAAAAUAGGAAGAGGAAAUGAAAGAACGAAGAAAGGAAGAAAGAGAAUGAUACUAAGAAGUUUCGAAAGCGACGAAGGAGUGUAAAAUUUUGAUAUGAAAGAAAAGAAUGAGAAAUUUGGGAAGAACAAUAAACACUAGAAAAUUUAGGAGUUAUUAUUUUCGAAUUUGAUGAGAAAAAUUUAACUAUAAAAUUUUGAGAAAGAAGAGAUAUAAAAGAUAUAGAAAAAAAGAAAAAAAAAUGUAUUAUAAUUUGAGAAGUUUAUAAAUCUUUUUUUAAAAAAAUUAAAACCUUUAUAUUAU
rnacentral:lncRNA from 1 species